CCUANGGGUGGCAGCAGCUAAGAAUCUUCCGCAAUGGGCGAAAGCCUGACGGAGCGACGCCGCGUGGGUGAAGAAGGCCGAGAGGUUGUAAAGCCCUUUUCUUACAGAAGAAUAAGUCCUUGAGGUAAUGCGGGGAUGAUGACGUUAUGUGAGGAAUAAGCACCGGCCAAUUACGUGCCAGCAGCCGCGGUAACACGUAAGGUGCGAGCGUUGUUCGGAAUUAUUGGGCGUAAAGGGCUUGUAGGCGGCCUGCCAAGUCUCACGUGAAAGACCAGGGCUCAACCCUGGGGACGCGAGAGAAACUGGCAAGCUGGAAUCUUUGAGGGGGUACUGGAAUUCCUGGUGUAGGGGUGAAAUCUGUUGAUAUCAGGAAGAACACCGGAGGCGAAGGCGAGUACCUGGCAAAAGAUUGACGCUGAUGAGCGAAAGCGUAGGUAGCAAACAGGAUUAGAUACCCUANUANUC
rnacentral:rRNA from 1 species